UGUGUACUCCCUCCAUUCCAAAAUACUUGACUUCCAUUUGUCCACAAAUAGAUGUACCUAUAUACUAAAACAUGUCUAGAUACAUAUAUAUUUUGACAAAUAGAAGGCAUGUAUUGUGCAACGGAGGGAGUAGAAU
rfam:Triticum aestivum genome assembly, contig: Triticum_aestivum_CS42_TGACv1_scaffold_129520_2BL